rnacentral:rRNA from 1 species
UACGGAGGGGGCUAGCGUUGUUCGGAAUUACUGGGCGUAAAGCGCACGUAGGCGGCUUUGUAAGUUAGAGGUGAAAGCCCGGGGCUCAACUCCGGAAUUGCCUUAAGACUGCAUCGCUAGAAUUGUGGAGAGGUAAGUGGAAUUCCGAGUGUAGAGGUGAAAUUCGUAGAUAUUCGGAAGAACACCAGUGGCGAAGGCGACUUACUGGACACAUAUUGACGCUGAGGUGCGAAAGCGUGGGGAGCAAACAGG